UACGAAGGGGACUAGCGUUGUUCGGAAUCACUGGGCGUAAAGCGCACGUAGGCGGAUUUGUAAGUCAGGGGUGAAAUCCCGGGGCUCAACCUCGGAACUGCCUUUGAUACUGCGAAUCUCGAGUCCGAUAGAGGUGGGUGGAAUUCCUAGUGUAGAGGUGAAAUUCGUAGAUAUUCGGAAGAACACCAGUGGCGAAGGCGGCUCACUGGUCCGGUACUGACGCUGAGGUGCGAAAGCGUGGGGAGCAAACAGG
rnacentral:rRNA from 1 species